GACGAACGCUGGCGGCGCGCCUAACACAUGCAAGUCGAACGAGAGAUGAGGAGCUUGCUCUUCAGAUCGAGUGGCGAACGGGUGAGUAACGCGUGAGGAACCUGCCUCAAAGAGGGGGACAACAGUUGGAAACGACUGCUAAUACCGCAUAAGCCCACGGCUCGGCAUCGAGCAGAGGGAAAAGGAGCAAUCCGCUUUGAGAUGGCCUCGCGUCCGAUUAGCUAGUUGGUGAGGUAACGGCCCACCAAGGCGACGAUCGGUAGCCGGACUGAGAGGUUGAACGGCCACAUUGGGACUGAGACACGGCCCAGACUCCUACGGGAGGCAGCAGUGGGGGAUAUUGCACAAUGGGGUAAACCCUGAUGCAGCGACGCCGCGUGGAGGAAGAAGGUUUUCGGAUUGUAAACCUCUGUGGACAGGGACGAUAAUGACGGUACCUGACUAAGAAGCACCGGCUAAAUACGUG
rnacentral:rRNA from 1 species